rnacentral:rRNA from 1 species
GACGAACGCUGGCGGCGUGCUUAACACAUGCAAGUCGAACGGAAAGGCCCUGCUUUUGUGGGUUGCUCGAGUGGCGAACGGGUGAGUAACACGUGAGUAACCUGCCCUUGACUUUGGGAUAACUUCAGGAAACUGGGGCUAAUACCGGAUAGGAGCUCCUGCUGCAUGGUGGGGGUUGGAAAGUUUCGGCGGUUGGGGAUGGACUCGCGGCUUAUCAGCUUGUUGGUGGGGUAGUGGCUUAACAAGGCUUUGACGGGUAGCCGGCCUGAGAGGGUGACCGGGCAAAAUAGGAAGGAGAGAGGGGCCAGGCGGCUAAGGGAGGAAAGGGGGGGGAAAAUUGGAAAAAGGGGGGGAGGCUGGAUGGAGCAAGCCGGGUGCGGGAUGAAGGCCUUCGGGUUGGAAACCGCAUUCGCCUGUGACGAAGCGUGAGUGACGGUAAUGGGUAAAGAAGCACCGGCUAACUACGUG